GCCAGACACAGCUACUUGGGAGGCUGAGAUAGGAGGAUUGCUUGAGUCCAGCAGUUCUGGGCUGUAGUGUGCUGUGCUGAUCAGGUGUCCGCACUAAGUUUAGCAUCACUAUGGUGACCUCCCAGGAGCAGGGGGCCACCAGGUUGCCUAAGGAGGGGUGAACCAGCCCAAGUCAGAAACAAAGCAAGUGAAAACUCCCAUGCUGAGCAAUAGAGGGAUCGCGCCUGUGAGCAGCCACUGCACUCCAGCCUGGGCAACAUAGCAAGACUCCGUCUCUA
rfam:Otolemur garnettii contig168533, whole genome shotgun sequence.